ncrna:unclassified sequences L4-Archaeoglobi ribosomal protein leader
CUGAUGGCGGCGUCUGGGUGGAAAUCGGAAUCAAUCGCCCUAUUCCCCUUCGCACCGGAGAAAAGUACUCGGUGGGGCAGCGCCUAAGUGUCAG